UCUCACAGCCCCAGCCAGGCGAAGCUCUGGAGAGCAGGCGUCCGAUCCGCGCUUCGAGGACGCCGCUACAAAUCCUCCCCGAUCCCCGCUGUCCUGGGCUGGCUGCUUGGGUUUGCGCCGGGAGCCGGGAGCCGCGAGACUCCGCUGGACCUCCGACCGCUUGCACACGCUGGCCCUGGACCCACUUCUGCUUUGUUAACCAGAGGAUAGAAAAUGCCUUUUGCAAAGCCUCCUCGAAUGUUCUUUCGGGUCCACAGCCAAGGACUUCAACCUUUGCCACAGUGGAGCGCGAGAGGAGGGAAAUUGUUUCAGGUGAAGUGCCCAAGGCAAGGGCCCCCACCCUAGCCGGAGGAGCCUCCCUCCCCACCAGCGUCACCGAAAGCCUGCGAAGAGAGGGAGAAAAACUCGGCUAGAAGCUCCCGGGAAUCUUGAAGAAGCUUGGGAUGCGCGGACCAGGCGUCCGGGUCGAAGGAGGUCCCGGGACCUCGAAGACCUCUGCGUCCCCGGCCCCAGCACUCCUGUCAGGGCCAGGGAUCCGGGCACCCCAGACAUCUCAAGAAGAGAAAGGGGGUUCAGAAUAGGAGGAUCCCGUUCCCAGACGUCACACAGACAUACAAAGACAUACACUUUCAUGCACGUUCACACACACACACACACACACACACACACACACACGAGCACAGUUAAGUAAAACAACACACGCAGUGAUGCACACUAAGUCACAAGAGACCAAACACACACACAAUUACUGUAUGUAAAGACACACAAUGACACAGACGCCGAGACCACAGAUACACACUGAAGCUCACUGUCUACGCACACAGCGCAGCCGGCUGUGCACUUGGCUGACAGUCUCCGGAGAAGGCGGAGCCUGGGCCACUGGGCAGGGACCGCCCUGCACCCAACCCGGGCUCCACCCGCUGGCUUCCUCCACCCUCCCCUUCACUCCCAGGGAGGGGAGCCUGCAGCAGAAGACUGUCCCCCGGCUGCUCCGACCCGGACUCAGCCCCAGGGUAGGGGUGGAGGGACAGGACCGCCCUUGACCCACAGGACUAAGGUUUCCCCAGGAUGAGAAAUAAGUUCACAGCUGGACCCUGGAUGGGCAGACAGAGGCUGGGAGUGGUUCUCUGACAGCCACUCUGACUGGAGAGGGGUGUUAUCCCUAACAAACCUGGAAAGGAUAACAACCCCACAGGGCCAGGCUACCAAAGAGAUUUUCCAAGGGGCAGACAGGCUUUGGCGGUUCCCACCUCCAUAGGUGUCUGCCCUUCUUCCCAGGGGCCCUUUCUAUCCAGCCUGGGUCUGAUUGAAAGUCAAGCUCAAAGACAGGUCCCCAUCAGCAGUGUUCAAAUUGGGGUAUUAUUUUUCUCUGCAGCCAAAAGAAAAACCCAAGUUUCUCUGAAAUGGCAAAAGCCACAAAAAACAUCCCACCUGUAGUCAUCGAUGUCCUGGAACUGCACUGACAAAUUUUGGAAAGGUAUAUAGUGUAAUAAAUUGGGAGCAAAUUAUGUGAAUUAAUCCAGAUACAUGGAAAGUCUCUGAGAACAAUGCCUGGUGUGUACACUAAACACUGAAGAAGUGCUUGCUCUCACAGACGGGAAACAGACACAAAGAGA